AGCGAACGCUGGCGGCAGGCCUAACACAUGCAAGUCGAACGAAGCCUUCGGGCUUAGUGGCGGACGGGUGAGUAACACGUGGGAACGUACCUUUUGGUUCGGAAUAACGCAGAGAAAUUUGCGCUAAUACCGAAUGAGCCCUUCGGGGGAAAGAUUUAUCGCCGAAAGAUCGGCCCGCGUUGGGUUAGGGAGUUGGUGUGGUAAAGGCGGACCAAGCCUACGAGCCAUAGCUGGUCUGAGAGGAUGAUCAGCCACGCUGGGGCUGAGACUCGGGCCAGACUCCUACGGGGGGCAGCUGUGGGGAAUUUUGCGGAAUGGGCGAAAGCCGGACGCAGCGAUGCAGCGUGAAUGAUGAAGGUCUUAGGAUUGUAAAAUUCUUUUACCGGGGACGAGAAUGACGGUACCUGCGGAAAAAGCCCCGGCUAACUUCGUGCGAGCCGCCGCGGUAAGAC
rnacentral:rRNA from 1 species